rnacentral:rRNA from 1 species
AUUGAACGCUGGCGGCAGGCCUAACACAUGCAAGUCGAACGAGUGGCGGACGGGUGAGUAAUGUCUGGGAACCUGCCCGAUGGAGGGGGGUAACUACUGGAAACGGUAGCUAAUACCGCAUACCAUCGGAUGUGCCCCGAUGGGAUUAGCUAGUAGGUGGGGUAACGGCUCACCUAGGCGACGAUCCCUAGCUGGUCUGAGAGGAGGACCAGCAACACGGGAACUAGGACACGGUCCGGAGUCCUAGGGGAGGCAGCAGUGGGGAAAAUUGCACAGUGGGCGCAAGCCUGAGGCAGCCGUGCCGCGUGGAUGAAGAGGGCCUUCGGGUUGUAGAGUACUUUCAGCGAGGAGGCGUUACUCGCAGAAGAAGCACCGGCGAACUCCGUGCCAGCCGCCGUGGUAAUUC